UGGGGAAUAUUGCACAAUGGAGGGAACUCUGAUGCAGCGACGCCGCGUGAACGAAGAAGGCUUUCGAGUCGUAAAGUUCUUUUAUAUGGGAAGAUAAUGACGGUACCAUAAGAAAAAGCCCCGGCUAACUACGUGCCAGCAGCCGCGGUAAUACGUAGGGGGCUAGCGUUGUCCGGAAUCACUGGGCGUAAAGGGUUCGCAGGCGGAAAUGCAAGUCAGAUGUAAAAGGCAGUAGCUUAACUACUGUAAGCAUUUGAAACUGCAUAUCUUGAGAAGAGUAGAGGUAAGUGGAAUUUUUAGUGUAGCGGUGAAAUGCGUAGAUAUUAAAAAGAAUACCGGUGGGGAAGGCGACUUACUGGGCUCAUUCUGACGCUGAGGAACGAAAGCGUGGGUAGCAAACAGG
rnacentral:rRNA from 1 species